rnacentral:rRNA from 1 species
UACGUAGGGGCAAGCGUUGUCCGGAAUCAUUGGGCGUAAGGAGCGUGUAGGCGGCCCGGUAAGUCCGCUGUGAAAGUCCAGGGCUCAACCCUGGGAUGCCGGUGGAUACUGUCAGGCUCGAGUCCGGAAGAGGAGUGUGGAAUUCCUGGUGUAGCGGUGAAAUGCGUAGAGAUUGGGAAGAACACCGGUGGCGAAAGCGCUCUACUGGGCCUGCACUGACACUCAUGGACGAAAGCUAGGGGAGCGAAAGGG